rnacentral:rRNA from 1 species
AGCUUGCUGGGGGAUUAGUGGCGAACGGGUGAGUAACACGUGAGUAACCUGCCCUUAACUCUGGGAUAAGCCUGGGAAACUGGGUCUAAUACCGGAUAUGACUCCUCAUCGCAUGGUGGGGGGUGGAAAGCUUUUUGUGGUUUUGGAUGGACUCGCGGCCUAUCAGCUUGUUGGUGAGGUAAUGGCUCACCAAGGCGACGACGGGUAGCCGGCCUGAGAGGGUGACCGGCCACACUGGGACUGAGACACGGCCCAGACUCCUACGGGAGGCAGCAGUGGGGAAUAUUGCACAAUGGGCGAAAGCCUGAUGCAGCGACGCCGCGUGAGGGAUGACGGCCUUCGGGUUGUAAACCUCUUUCAGUAGGGAAGAAGCGAAAGUGACGGUACCUGCAGAAGAAGCGCCGGCUAACUACGUGCCAGCAGCCGCGGUAAUACGUAGGGCGCAAGCGUUAUCCGGAAUUAUUGGGCGUAAAGAGCUCGUAGGCGGUUUGUCGCGUCUGCCGUGAAAGUCCGGGGCUCAACUCCGGAUCUGCGGUGGGUACGGGCAGACUAGAGUGAUGUAGGGGAGACUGGAAUUCCUGGUGUAGCGGUGAAAUGCGCAGAUAUCAGGAGGAACACCGAUGGCGAAGGCAGGUCUCUGGGCAUUAACUGACGCUGAGGAGCGAAAGCAUGGGGAGCGAACAGGAUUAGAUACCCUGGUAGUCCAUGCCGUAAACGUUGGGCACUAGGUGUGGGGGACAUUCCACGUUUUCCGCGCCGUAGCUAACGCAUUAAGUGCCCCGCCUGGGGAGUACGGCCGC